CAACUCUUCAGUUCAUCGACGAGCGCCUGGAGAAGCUGAAUGCCGGCGUGGGCUUUUCAGACGUGUUUGAGCAGGAAAUCACCAACAGCGGGAUGGCGGCGGGUAACCUGAGGUCAUACCAGCUGUGGGUAGAAAGCCUUAAGAAAGGCGGCGGGGCUCUGUUCCACACAGUGAAGAGCAAGACCAACCCAGCGGUCAGGAACAUGUACAAAUACG